AAAAGUUGCAAAAGGUGAUGAAAAGUUGCAAAAGAUGAUGAAAAAUGGGUGAAAAAUGGGUGGGAAAGACCACAGACACAACUCCAUGUGACAAUUGCCCCGCUUCAACGACCUAUAGUAUUAACAUUCGCCACCCCAGUGGCUGUAACGUUACAGGAGGAGGAGAGGACACGACGAUAACAGAACAGCUCCAAAUACAUAGUGCUGAGUACAGUACGAGUAGGUGUCGUGUGAGAAGACACAAAGAGUCGGUGAGAAGAUACAAAGAGCCGGUGUCAAACGACCGUCCGAGUCCUGACAUGUCUCACACAACCGUAUCAUGGACUAGUCACUAUGGACUAAUCUCCAGCUAGUCAUCAUCGACUAAUCACCGUUUUUAGUCGCCUUGCCAUUAGUCGGGACUCGCUUCCCCUCAGACUAGGACAUACAAACACGCGGUGCUAGUGGGAAGCCUCGUAGGAGGGGAGAUUGCGUGUGUAUCUAUCGACAAUGUCAGUUGGGUCCUUUUCACCGAGUAUUUCUCUGUACCAGCAGCACCCGAACAGCCCUAGCAGUUAACCUCGAUGGUGGCGCAAACUAUGGGAAUGGAUAUCGUUCUAAAAACAGCAAUAAACCACCUAUUGGAGCCGCUGAAGCCCGGUAUCAAGUUGCUGGCCGUAUAAAAACCUCCUGCGAAUUUUCGGCCUAUUUUAUACAACCGUUCGGGUCACAUUUUCUCACUCCUGUGCUGCAUCCUUUUUUGCCGUGACUAAACCCUGUGAUAAGAUUUGAAGGCCCAGAUGAGAAGAUGGAGCAUGGUUGAUUUAGGUAUGUUGUGGAGUUCCGGCGGGUUAUAUGGGGGCACUGGUGAAUCUCCUGCCAGUAGGAUCUCAAGGCAAGUCUCUGUUUUUUGAUAUCGUCAAAAUUGACAUGAUUCUGUAGACUUUUUGACACGCUUGAGCGGCUCCUACAGAUAAGUUCAGAAAGCAGAAAU
rnacentral:misc_RNA from 1 species